GCCUUCGUGGUGUAGUGGUCAGCACGCUGGGCGCGUAUUCCAGAGGUCCGUGGUUCGAAUCCCGGCGAAGGCG
rnacentral:tRNA from 1 species